CCUACGGGUGACAGCAGUGAGGAAUAUUGGUCAAUGGGCGCGAGCCUGAACCAGCCAAGUAGCGUGAAGGAUGAAUGCCCUCCGGGUUGUAAACUUCUUUUAUAUGGGAAUAGAGUUCAGGAUGUAUAACUUUUUGUAUGUACUUUAUGAAUAAGGAUAGGCUAACUCCGUGCCAGCAGCCGCGGUAAUACGGAGGAUACGAGCGUUAUCCGGAUUGAUUGGGUUUAAAGGGAGCGUCGCUGGUUGAUUAAGUCAGUUGUGAAAGUUUGCGGCUCAACCGUAAAAUUGCAUUUGAUACUGGCAGUCUUGAGUAUAGUAGAGGGAGGCGGAAUUCGUGGUGUAGCGGUGAAAUGCGUAGAUAUCACGAAGAACUCCGAUUGCGAAGGCAGCUUACUGGAC
rnacentral:rRNA from 1 species